AGUGAACGCUGGCGGUAGGCCUAACACAUGCAAGUCGAACGGCAGCACAGUAAGAGCUUGCUCUUACGGGUGGCGAGUGGCGGACGGGUGAGGAAUACAUCGGAAUCUACUUUUUCGUGGGGGAUAACGUAGGGAAACUUACGCUAAUACCGCAUACGACCUACGGGUGAAAGCAGGGGAUCUUCGGACCUUGCGCGAUUGAAUUAGCCGAUGUCGGAUUAGCUAGUUGGCGGGGUAAAGGCCCACCAAGGCGACGAUCCGUAGCUGGUCUGAGAGGAUGAUCAGCCACACUGGAACUGAGACACGGUACAGACUCCUACGGGAGGAAGCAGUGGGGAAUAUUGGACAAUGGGCGCAAGCCUGAUCCAGCCAUACCGCGUGGGUGAAGAAGGACUUCGGGUUGUAAAGCCCUUUUGUUGGGAAAGAAAAGCAGCAGGUUAAUACCCCGCUGUUCUGACGGUACCCAAAGAAUAAGCACCGGCUAACUUCGUG
rnacentral:rRNA from 1 species